rnacentral:rRNA from 1 species
UACGGGGGGGGCAAGCGUUGUUCGGAAUUACUGGGCGUAAAGGGCUCGUAGGUGGCCAACUAAGUCAGACGUGAAAUCCCUCGGCUUAACCGGGGAACUGCGUCUGAUACUGGAUGGCUUGAGUUCGGGAGAGGGAUGCGGAAUUCCAGGUGUAGCGGUGAAAUACGUAGAUAUCUGGAGGAACACCGGUGGCGAAAGCGGCUUCCUGGUCCAGCACCGACGUUCAGGCACGAAAGCGUGGGGAGCAAACAGG